rnacentral:rRNA from 1 species
GAUGAACGCUGGCGGCGUGCCUAAUACAUGCAAGUCGAGCGAAUGGAUUAAGAGCUUGCUCUUAUGAAGUUAGCGGCGGACGGGUGAGUAACACGUGGGUAACCUGCCCAUAAGACUGGGAUAACUCCGGGAAACCGGGGCUAAUACCGGAUAACAUUUUGAACCGCAUGGUUCGAAAUUGAAAGGCGGCUUCGGCUGUCACUUAUGGAUGGACCCGCGUCGCAUUAGCUAGUUGGUGAGGUAACGGCUCACCAAGGCAACGAUGCGUAGCCGACCUGAGGGGGUGAUCGGCCACACUGGGACUGAGACACGGCCCAGACUCCGACGGGAGGCAGCAGUAGGGAAUCUUCCGCAAUGGACGAAAGUCUGACGGAGCAACGCCGCGUGAGUGAUGAAGGCUUUCGGGUCGUAAAACUCUGCUGUUAGGGAAGAACAAGUGCUAGUUGAAUAAGCUGGCACCUUGACGGUACCUAACCAGAAAGCCACGGCUAACUACGUGCCAGCCGCCGCAGUAA